rnacentral:rRNA from 1 species
GACGAACCGUGCGAACGUUGUUCGGAUUCACUGGGCUUAAAGGGCGCGUAGGCGGCUUGCCAAGUCAGGGGUGAAAUCGUUCGGCUCAACCGGACAAGUGCUUCUGAUACUGGCGGGCUGGAGGGAGGUAGGGGCAGAGGGAAUUUCCGGUGGAGCGGUGAAAUGCGUAGAGAUCGGAAAGAACACCAACGGCGAAAGCACUCUGCUGGGCCGACACUGACACUGAGAGACGAAAGCUAGGGGAGCGAAUGGG